GAUGAACGCUGGCGGCGUGCCUAAUACAUGCAAGUAGAACGCUGAAGGAAGGAGCUUGCUCUUUCCGGAUGAGUUGCGAACGGGUGAGUAACGCGUAGGUAACCUGCCUGGUAGCGGGGGAUAACUAUUGGAAACGAUAGCUAAUACCGCAUAACAGUAGAUGUUGCAUGACAACUAUUUGAAAGGGGCAAUUGCUCCACUACCGGAUGGACCUGCGUUGUAUUAGCUAGUUGGUGAGGUAACGGCUCACCAAGGCGACGAUACAUAGCCGACCUGAGAGGGUGAUCGGCCACACUGGGACUGAGACACGGCCCAGACUCCUACGGGAGGCAGCAGUAGGGAAUCUUCGGCAAUGGACGGAAGUCUGACCGAGCAACGCCGCGUGAGUGAAGAAGGGUUUCGGAUCGUAAAGCUCUGUUGUACGAGAAGAACGAGUGCGAGAGUGGAAAGUUCACACUGUGACGGUAUCUUACCAGAAAGGGACGGCUAACUACGUG
rnacentral:rRNA from 1 species